UUUCUCUUCUCACACCCUCAUCUGUAUUCUGUGGACCCUUUUUUAUAGUCGUGGUUCUGUUUUUUAUGUUGUGACGUUGGUGUUGAAUAUCUGACACACAGGACAAUGUCCACUAAUGCAGGCACUGAAGACGCAGAGGAAGACGAUGUUGAAUUUGUCUCUGAGGGUUCGCUUAGACCUGUUCUGGAGUGCAUCGACCUGCUGAGCGAAGGAGAGGACGAUGCAGGAGUGUGUACGAUUGAGGAUCAGGUGGACAGACAGAAGGCCCAAGCAGUUUCGACCUUGGACAGACUGGCUCGCCAGGUAGCUGUGGAGAAACAGGAGCGGGCAGAAAAGUGCAAAGCCUUUAAGGAGAAGAUGAUCUCGCAGCAAGCUCAUGGCCGUCGUGAGUUGGCAGUGAGUCGAUGCAGCAGUGAGGACAGCAGUGAUGCCAAACGUUGUGUGGACAUCUGGCUGAGUAUGCCAGGAUUAAAGCCUGGUAUCAUCAAUACUGGCACGGGCUGGAGGCGCAGAUCUGCUCCCAAUCCCUCGUUAAGGUCCUCCCCUCAAACCUGCCCCGUCAUUAACUGUGGACGGGUAUAUGAAAAUGUCCCUCUGCUUGAGGGUCACCUUAAACGAUUUGACCAUUCUCCAUGUGACCCCACUAUCACACUUAAGGGCAGUCCUGCUUCUCUGUAUGCCUGCGUGGCCUGUGGUCGUCAUUUUGAGACCAGCGAGCACUGGAGAAUGCAUCUGGACUCUCAGCUGUCCUCCUCGAACACUGGUGGUCAUGACAGCUCUCAGACCUGCCAGUUGAUUGUUUGCUUCGCUUGCCCUGCCUGUUUCCUCCUCUUUAACUUCAAAGAUGAGUGUCUGCAGCACAUGGCAGCCAAAAACCACUUCACUCAGUCUGUCUCUCUACAUGAGAUGAAGUCAUCGGGGCCAAUUCCAGUUCCACGAUAUGCAAAGAACCGGCUAAUUGCUUUAUGUAAAGAUAUUGCAUUUAGAGUCAAAUGCACAGCUUGUUCAAAGGUGCUUACUUCACACAUGGAAGCCAAGGCUCACUUCAAUGUGCACUGCAGACAGGGCUGUGCUAUUGCAGAAGCCGAUCAAAGCGUGGCUGAGGUCAUGAAGCAGCUGACUGUUUUGAGCCAAUGCACUUCCUGCUCCAAAAUCUUCUUAUGCCAAAGACAGAUCGAGGAACACGGAGAACAGACACAGCACGAGGUGGAGAUGAUCAGCAGCAUGGAGCGAGCACUUCUAGUCUACAGCAACUACAGCGAAAUCCGACACGGCCUCAAGGGUACCGCCAGUCACUCCUCUAAACAUGCCAGUGCAACUGUAUCUUCGUCGCAUAGGGAUAAAAGAGACAAAAACGACUGUCUUUGGUCCCCUGCCAAGCGGCAGAGACUCUCCAGCUCAAGUCCUCAAGCUAAGUUUGAUCGAGCCUCGAAACUCGCCUGGUUCUGUGAGUGUGGUGUGCAGUUCCUGGAGGAGGAUCAAGCCAGCAAGCAUCUUCUAGCAGCCAACCAAAUCUUUCACAAGUGUGCCGUCUGCGGCAAGCUAAUGGGCGAAUCGUCCAUCGCUCGUCUGCACAUGAGCAGGUUCCAUGGCGGCGCUCAUCUGUCCAACUUCCUUUUCCACUGCAGGCUGUGCAAAUCAGACAUGCCAAGGAUUGAGGACAUCCUGUCUCAUGUUGGUGUUUCCCAUCAAGGGCACACCUACUAUGAAGAAAGAGAAAAAACUCAAGAGGAAAUCUUGUCUAGUCCUUCUCAGAAACCGUCCACCAGGGUAGACAGCGGGCCAGCAGUUUCCACUCCGCAUGAUAUCAGAAACAAGGCACGGUGGCUGUGCCGAAUGUGCGAGGACAUAUUUGAGUCUGAAGCGGUGGUGCUCAAGCAUUGCAGCGAUGUGACCAGUCACAGCUUCCAGAGGUUCGCUUGUGGCCACUGUCCACAGAAGUUCUUUAAAGAGUCGACCCUCCGCCGGCACUGUGCUAACGAGCACAAUAAUCAGCUGCUCCUUCGCUACUUUUGUGGACUCUGCGACAGCAUGCUGUACGAGUCUGAGCAGGAGUUCCUAGAGCACUACGCCAGCCUGCACAGCAAGGAUUACUACCACUUGGAUAAAAUAGAGAAUGGAUCUCUUUCAGUCCCAGAGAGUUCUUAUGAGGCACCGACAACAAGUAAAAGCCUUCCCCAACUCUGUCCAUGCAUGGGUACCCAAAAAGCCAAAGAGGAAACCAAGUCCACCUUUACAAGAUGCAUGAAGCAGCUGGCCAUAGAAGGCAAAUGUGGAUACAUCUGUCACCGAUGCGCGGCAAAGACAGGCUCUUACGCCGAGAUGAAAACGCACAUGCACUUGAAGCACGAGGCCCUGGGCAAGGACAAAAGCUUCGAUGUUAUCUGCGAGUUGUGUUCCGAGAGCCACAAGGACGUGCCCAAUUUCCACUCGCAUUACCACACCCAUCACUGCUUAAUGGAACCGUGUAUGUCGUCUCGAUGCAGUGGAUCAAGCAGGGAAGAUGCCUCGAUCGAGAAGGUUUUGAACGCAGAGGAAAUCUCUGCCGAAAAGAAUGCUGAGGAGUUUCAGGAUGUAAAUACAGCCAUUGCUUCAAGCACCACUUCCAAAGAGAACAAGGAUGACUUUGAUGAGGCGAUUAAACUGGCUUUGGCUUUAAGUGCAGAAGAAGCGAAGGAGCCAACAGCAUUUGAUCAGGCUUUGAAUCUCUGAAAAGAGGUACCAGCAUAACUGUGAAAUCAGCUUGGUAAACUCACACUGGGCUAUUAAAGGGAUAAGAGAAGCUUUGGGUGAUAAGGAGCACUGUUUGAGGCCUUGUUUUCACGGUGAGGUGUUUGGGGCUGUCUGUUAAGUGUCUUAGAUGUGACUGGAAAAUGUAGCACUUGGCACUCUUUAUCUAGAGACAGUUGUGGGAAAUGUAUUAUACUGAAGAAUUAGUCAAAUUGCUGUAACAGAUUGGUUAGGAAGUAGAAGUGUGUAUACAAUUGGUAACCAAAUCAAGCUCAGGAGCUGAAUCAGAACCACCAAAUUUGAAGGUACUUGAUUUCGAACCACUCCAAUGUCGCUUUGGCAGUAUGUUUCUAUCCUUUUCCACCCCAUUCUCAAGGCUGGAGCAGGUUUUCUUUUAAAAAAUACCCUGUAUUUGGCUUCAUCCUUCUACCUUCAAACCUGACCAGUUUUUACUGAUGAAAGGCUUUCCUACAACAAGAUGCUACCACCAUCAUGUUUCACUUUGAGAUUGGUGUUCUUCUGAGGGGAACUGCUUGCACCAGGGGUUUCACAGCAACAGGAGAUGGAAGAGGCUCUGAAGAGAAGCCUGGUGGACUUUUGAUCGGAAGCUACACACACAAACACACACCAUUGAAUUUGUCCUUUAUUUUCAUGUUGUUCAUGUAGCAACUGUAAGCUGUUAAAUUUUUGUGAAUGUGUCCUGAGGAGUAAAUAAAGAAAACUAAGCUUAA